GAUGAACGCUGGCGGCGGGCCUAAUACAUGCAAGUCGAGCGAACAGAUGAGGAGCUUGCUUCUCUGACGUUAGCGGCGGACGGGUGAGUAACAGGUGGAUAACCUACCUAUAAGACUGGGAUAACUUCGGGAAACCGGAGCUAAUACCGGAUAAUAUAUUGAACCGGAGGGUUCAAUAGUGAAAGAGGGUUUUGCUGUCACUUAGAGAGGGAUCCGGGCCGCAGUAGCUAGUUGGUAAGGUAAAGGCCUACCAAGGCAACGAUGCGUAGCUGACCUGAGAGGGUGAUCGGCCACACUGGAACUGAGACACGGUCCAGACUCCUACGGGAGGCAGCAGUAGGGAAUCUUCCACAAUGGGCGAAAGCCUGACGCAGCCACGCCGCGUGAGUGAUGAAGGUCUUCGGAUCGUAAAACUCUGUUAUUAGGGAAGAACAAAUGUGUAAGUAACUCUGCACGUCUUGACGGUACCUAAUCAGAAAGCCACGGCUAACUACGUG
rnacentral:rRNA from 1 species